UUUAGCUCCAAGUAAAAACAGAAGAGUGAGAUCUAAUAGUGGCCAGUGGCCUGGUGGUCCAAAGUACGGUAAAGUUUCUCCCUGGUCUGGACCUCCAACCUCUGCUAUGGAGUUUGUGCACUAUGGAUGGAGAUGAAGGUGUUUCAAUGGGGGAUAACCCUUCACAUCACGAACAAAUGCAAGCAAAUAGUGUCCUCGAGUUGGAAAUUUGAAGCAAAGAUUCAAGGACCACUGCCUUGGUCACCUUUUUUUUCCCUUUACAGCAACGACAUGGUUACAUUCUCAAAAUGCUGUGGUGCAUGUCUAUGUCGUAUGCAUAUUUGCAUCAGCACCUCUUACGAUCUAUUCUAUUGUUUUAUGAUUUGCCAUACUAGUCUACUUGGAGGAGAUAUUUAGUUACUAUUUCAUAAUAAAAAAAUUGAAGAUAAUAGAGACAA